AACUCCAUCUGUACUCACAA
rnacentral:snRNA from 1 species